AAAAAGGAAAAAAAAAGGAAAAACCUGCAUAAAGUUAGAAAGGCUCAAGAAUAGAAACAAAUUGGUAAAAAAAAAGAGUAAUUCAUUUGGAAAAAUUUAGUACUGAAAAAGUAUAUGAAGAUAUUUCAAAACCUUCUUUUGCAUAGAAAAAGUGAAUUAAAUUAUCUGACAUUUUGAGGUUCUAUUGUAAGGAAAACACAGAAAAAGCUUGUUUGCAACCACUGACUAGGUUAGCAGAAAGAGCUUUAAAAAGCUCUCAAAGUCUACCAACUACAAUGAUGCCAAUGUAAUUUGAGACUAGCAAUGCUCAUGCAAAAUAGUCCUCCAACAACAAAAACAAAAGGAAAAUGAUGAAAUUAUCCAGCUGAAAAGUCCUUUGGAUUUGUCAAUCCAGGGCAAGUGUGGUGUUCCCCAAACUGCUCAUUGGAGUCUUUUGAAGAGGUCUACUACCAUGCAUUCUUGCAUACAAGAGUGGGAAAAAAGCAUAAACAGCAUCUACUUGCGAUGGUGACAAUACAGUAAAUGAUAUGAGAGUUUGGUUUCCAUUGUGAUAAAUACAAAAUUAUAUGUGCAGCCAAUGUAGAAAUGGAGUCCACUGCUAACAAAAAUAAUGCGACAGAAGAUCAUUCGCUUCUGUUUCUCUUUCUUUUUCAGAUAUUGCAAGCAUUAGAAAAAACACUCAAGAGCAAGAACUUCCUUUGUUGUCAAUCUUGUAAAUGGUUCUUGCAUUUCUUUCACAGUAGCCAGACAUUUUUCUGAAAAAUAUAAAAGUACCUUGCAAGGAAGAAACAAUGCAAUUCGUCACCACCUUCACACAUUUAGAAGGUACUUUUGAUACCACCUUAUAAAUGCUAGGCAUUACACAGCUUACUGGCUUAUUUCAAUCAUGCGACCUUUUAUGACCUUUCCAAAUAAAAGCAAUAUAUCUUGAAACUCUUGAGAUUUCAUGGUUAUGUUUAUUAUUAUUCCAUCAUACAUGUCGUACAACAUGAGCAUUAGGCCUUCUCCUAGUUAUUCUGGGAUAGCUCUAUGAAUCUCAUUGACCAAGGGUGCCAUUUAGGUCUAGCCAUGAUGCUAUUUCAAGAUUCCCGAUAUCCCUUCUCACAACUUCCACCCGCGUACAUACUUAAAGUAGUUCUUCCACUUCCUCUUCUACAACUUUCAACAAUAACUAUCUCUCCUUAUCGGAGCCCCCUUGUAUCUGAUGUAGCACAACUACAGGAAAAGAGGAGAAGGAGGAAGAACAAGGGAGGGAGAAGGAAGAAGAGGUUAUAGAGACGCAGGAAGAAGAGAAGGGGAGAAGGAAGAAGAAGAAGAACAAGAAGGAGGCUAGGGUUUUUUCAUUCAAUCAUCAAUUGCCUCAUACAUGAGAGGGGUGGUCUUUAUAUAGACCUUACAUCUUGACCAAAUCAAGUAAUCAAUUGAUCAAAUCAAUCAAUUAACACCGAUUAAAUUUGGACCCUUAUAUCAACUAAUUCCUUACCAAAAUUGGUCCACUAAAUUAACCCAAUUACAUAAACCCAAUUGACUAGUCUAAUAACAAAACAACUGACCAAAUUGACUUGAUUAAGACAAAAGCAAAUAAUGCAAUAAAAGAAAAUGACUCAGACUCAAAUGGACCCAAUCCGAGUCUGACUCAAUCCGGAGGCUCAGGAUCAUCUAGAUGAAGGGCUCUGAUAUCCCUAUCAACUCCUUCCGGAUGAGAAAAACUCGACUUCGUCGAGUACAGGUCUGGCCGGCUGUCGUACUGCUCUAGAAAAUCGGGGUCAAGGCGCUGCAACUGGGCUCUGAAAAUCCACGUCACUUCAGACUUUGGUCGACCUUUCCACCGAACAAGGUAACAUUGGUAACCACCAUUCCUGGUUAAAAUAACCUGCUCAUCCAAUAUAUGUUCUAUUUGUUCUCUGCGUGCAUGAAAUUUGAGAGGUGGUGGCUCAAUAGCAGGUAAUAGUUCAGGAUGUUCAAUAUGGGCAGGUAUAUCAAUAAAGGGGUUAGAAGGCAUGAAUGUUGUCUUUUUGUAUGGGACUAUAUCUUCAAUAUUAAAUCUCGCACUAAUCCCAUAGUCAUCAGGAAGAUCCACAACAUAUGUAUUCGAAUUUCGAACUAAUUUUUUUUAAGACUUUGAACGGUUCCGCACUACAAGCUUAUAAUUUCUUGAACGUUUCCGAAGAAAGUCGUUCAAAUCUAAUUCUUAUCAUGACGUAACCUAUUUUACUUAACUCUUUAUAACGUCUGUGUAAUUCAACAAGGGAUUUAUAUUUUAAGUUAUUAAAAUGACUACAAUUGCUGAUUUCUUGAUACAAUGAAUAUGGAUGUGAUGCAAAUGAUUGUGCAGACUUAAAGACUCUAUACUGAUGAGACAUAAAAAAUAGGUCUAUGGGUCGCCUAGGUUUGUAAUCAUGCACCACUUCGAAUGGACUCAUGCCUAUGGACUUGUUAACCAAACUAUUAUAUGCAAACUCAACUGUCGGUCACAUUAAAUUCCAGAUCCUAGCAUAUGCAUUCGGUCUGAGCCUAUGAUAUGGAAGGUUGGGCAGAGAUGCUUCGGAAACUAGAUCAAUUGCACGUUGGAUAUCACGCAUUGGAGAAAGUGCAUUCGGAAGAUCAUUAGGGACUACAUCAUGAAACUCCUCUAGAAGAGAAACUACUACAGGGGAACGUUCACGGUUGGACGCCGCAUGGGUAUCUUUAGCUACAAAUGCCAACUCAGGUGACUAGCUCUCAAUAUCUUUCACUACCUCUUCCACAGUAGUGAUGUGAAGUGGCUUAGCUGUACUUAGAUCAAUAGUCUCCCCUUAGGAAUCAUUUUGGACAAAGUCUAAUUCUGUGGGUUCGUCUUCAAAGUCUUCUUCAUAGUCUUCUAUAUUUGGUUCAUAGACUUCUUCGACAUAUUCGACCUCUUGGCUCCUAACUUCUAGUUCAGUAAUCAUGUAGGUCUUAAUGGAAUAUUGGGAUGCUAUGUGGCCGAAUUGUUGACACCUAGAGCAUUGAGUUUGGUGCCUAGGAAAAUGGGGAAGGAUUACAGGUGAUGUGACCAAACCAAUUUUAGGUUCGGCUGCAAUAGAGGUUGGCGGUUUAGGGAUCCUAGAAUUUCACAUGAGCUCACGGAUCUCUUGUUUGAAUUCCUCGUGUCCAGCCCGCAUGGCAUCGAGCUGUUCUAUGAGAGAUCUAUAAACGUCGGAAUUCAUGGUAGCUACAAAGGUUUUAAGUUGAUUAAAAUAGUACUCCCUAUCACUACGGGUUGGCAUGCAAUGACGACACUAGGUGAUGAUGUGAAAUGCAGUGUCACUACUGAGACCCUAAUAAAUAUGAUGUGAAAUGCAGGACAACCUACUAAUGCAAUCUAUUAUGAUCCAGAGAUCAGCAAGUUUUCACAAAAAUAACUUAAAAUUUAAAUGUUGCUGAUUUUUACUUCGGUUAUUCGAAAUUAAGGAUUAAGAUUAUUCAAUUUAAGAAAUUAAAUUGCAAUCAAGUAGUACAGUUGUUCUGAUCCUAAAUCAAUCUGAUCAAAGAAUGUUAAGAAACAUCCAGUUGCUAGGGUGUGCUAAUUUAAUAUCUAGAUUUUAAAAGGGCAAAUAGGAUGGGUUUGAAAGUAGGGGUUCUAUGUUCUGAAUUUUGACAGCAAAAGUAAGUUUGAAGAAUAUGGCUAUCAUGCAAGAGAACUAGAACAUAAUUAAAUGAACAAGCCCAAGAAAAGUGGAAACCUUAUUAUCCGUCGUGAAGUAGACGACCAGAAUGUGUGCUCGUGGGCUGGGGCGACGAUCGGUGCGCGAUUGCAGCUGAUGGACACUUUCAAUUGGCUUCAAUUGACUUCAACUUGGAUUUGAUCACAGCACCUUGGCGAGUCUGCUGGGCUUGUAAAAUGACAGGGAGUGGACCUGUUCGAGUUUGUGGGAUGGGAUCAGGCCUCUGUAGUGAGGGCCUGCUGGCUUGGGCCCGUAAGGUGGCAGUGGGGUGGCCUGAAACUUGGGCUUAAAAGGGGCCUGUCUGGGGUCGAUGGAGGGGUGCUCGAGUGAGCUGCAGUGGCCGAAGAAGAAAAAGGAUGAGGGGAAAGAGGGGCGGCGGAAGGUGACGGGUUCGGGAUGGGGACGGCCGGCGGCGGAGCAGACGAAGCGGCAGGCGGGUGGCGGCGGAGCUGCGGCGACGACGGAGGCAGAGCUCAAGGGAAGGAGGGGUUGGGCAGCGCGGUGGAGGCGGACACGGAAGAUAGAAGGGGAUGGUGGCUUCGGCCGGUGGAGCAGAAGCGGCGAAGGGUGGGCGGCGCGCGGCGGCAGCACGGGUGAAGCAGCACUCAAGGGCGGCGGUGCGGCGUGCGGNNNNNNNNNNNNNNNNNNNNNNNNNNNNNNNNNNNNNNNNNNNNNNNNNNNNNNNNNNNNNNNNNNNNNNNNNNNNNNNNNNNNNNNNNNNNNNNNNNNNNNNNNNNNNNNAUUUCUUUUCCAACCCAAAGUAGAGAGUAUGGUACUUAACAAAUUUUCCUGUAUAUCCUCACUCUCAUCUAGAAUAAGGGCCAAUAAGAACAUUUUGUGGAUGAUCAUCGCUGACAAUAGAGAAAAAUGUACCGAACAUUCCAUUUAUGAGAUCAUUACAUUCAAGAUCCAACAUCACAACACAUGACCUGUAUCUUGCAAGCAUCUCUAAGAUAACAACCCUCCUUCCAAAUGAUGCACUGUUAAUGUCACCUAAUCCACUAAAUGUAGUAACCAUCAAAUGAAAUAUGUCCCUUAGAACAUCAUCACUGUAAGGAGCUUCUGGAGCAGUUAUUCGGGUGAUUUCACAAUUGCAGGUGGCUACCAGAACCUUGACUUCCCUGUCUUGAUGUUUCAGCAAUUCUUGUUUAGCUCUUUUUUUGUACGCUCGUGCGGUCACGUGCGGAGCUUUUUGGACCCGGGUCUCGGGUUAUCGGGUUCGGGUUAACGGGUUUUGUGACUUACCCGUUAAUCCUUUCUUCAACCUCCCUUUGGCUACGAGAGGGCGUGGCAAUAUUCGCGGUGGCAGCUGCGAGCGGGCAGAGGGCGCGGCAGCGGCUGCGGGCUUGUGGCGACCGGCAGUGACCGACGGCGACCGACCGUGGGGCUCCACGGCGGCGGUCUCCUCUGCGGACAUGAUGCAGGCGGCCGGUCUCAGGCUUCCGCGGGCAGCAACAAGGCGCCCAAUGGUGGCGGAGCGCUCGGGGCGCGCGGCGACACUUCGGAGGAGGCGGCGCUCGGCCUGGCAGUGGCGCGAUGCAGCGGCGAUGGAGUGUGGGAGUGGUGGCCGCAGGCUUGGCGGCCGGUGGGAGGGGCCCGACGAACAAGGGUUUUCCCUUUGCUGCUUUACUGGUGAGCACCGAGAGAGAGAGAGGAGGGGUGGUGGGCCAUGGGAAGUUGAGGGAGAAGCGGUGUCGAGGAGGCGGAGGCGGUGGGGUGAAUGAAUAGGGAUGGUGGACCGUGGGAGGUUGAGGGAGAAGAGGUUGGAUCGUGGCUUUGGCAACAGGGGCAAAGCCGGAGCUCUGAUACCAAGCUGAUGUAGCACAACUGCAAGGAAAGAGGAGGAGGAAGAACAAGGGAGGGAGAAGGAAGAAGAGGUUAUAGAGACGCAGGAAGAAGAGAAGGGGAGGAGGAAGAAGAACAAGAACAAGAAAGAGGCUAGGAUUUUUUCAUUCAAUCAUCAAUUGCCUCAUACAUGAGAGGGGUGGUCUUUAUAUAGACCUUACAUCUUGACCAAAUCAAGUAAUCAAUUGACACAGAUUAAAUUUGAACCCUUACAUCAACUAAUACCUUAUCAAAAUUGGUCCACUAAAUUAACCCAAUUACAUAAACCCAAUUGACAAGUCUAAUAACAAAACAACUGACCAAAUUGACUUGACUAAGACAAAAGCAAAUAAUACAGUAAAAGAAAAUGACUCGGACUCAAAUGGACCUAAUCCGAUUCUGACUCAAUCCGGGGGCUUAGGAUUGAGUCAGACUAGAUGAAGGGCUCUGAUGUCCCCAUCAGUAUCUUAAUUCUACGUACCUAAAACAUUUAAAUUGAUUCCCCAUCACUUUGUCCUUAAUUUGUGCAACUUUUAGAGCUCCCCUGACAAUAUAUAUAUAUAUAUCGAAUUUGGGUCCAUUUCAUACUUUUCAAGUAACAAUUAUCGAGAAAACACCACAUGAGUAACUAAACCACCAUUGUCCUGCAUAAUAUUUUAAUAGUUCUUACCUAAAAUCUGUCAUAUAUGCCUUUCAAUAUCUUCCCUAGUAUCCCCACACAAAGUCUUCAAUAUCUAUCGAGCUAUCAAAGCUCUUCAUGCAAUAAAGUUUGAAUAGAUCAUAUAGCUAUAGAAAGAAGAAAAACCAUGUUAUGAAAUUGAUCAGAGAAAACAAAGUUAAUCGAUUAGCUACAGAAACUAGCAGAAGGACAAACAGA
rnacentral:lncRNA from 1 species